CUUAGUUGGGGCAAGAGGGAGGGGCGAACCCUGGGGGGGGGCGGGCAGGACAAAAGGGAAGGGGACUUUUUAUUUAAUGCUUGCUACUUUUUUCUGCAGAAUCCAAUUCCCCCUGAUUGGGAAGGAUGGACGAUUCCGAUUUCCUGUAUCUCUUCUAAAACAAUGAAACCCAUUCUCCGGGAGGGCAGUCCUAGGAAUGUGUACUUAACAGAGAAAGCGCGGUUUUGCGGUUACUGUGAAAGAAAAGAGAGCAUGGGGAGAGCAGAACUGCCUUAUAAGACCCUCUCCCACAGUGGAUGGCAGCCUGUUUCAGAAAAACAGGGAAAUCCACCCAAGGACAGGGAAACUGUGUGGAAAAUCGGCAGUCUGCUUACUAUGAUCUAGUGUAACAGCCUGCAGCCAAAAUCAUGCAAGGACUCAGAGGUGGGAGGGACCUCGGUGCGGAUCUUCACCAGCCUUCUGGUCAUAAUGCAAGAUUUGUGCAAGGCUCACGUGAACAGCAUGAACACGGUCCAUUUCUCCCAAAUCAGGGACUAUCUAUGAUAAUGAGCAAGAAAAGAAUAAAAAGUAUUCUCAACAAGUGGAGGAAGGCUCCUUAUAAACAAAUACCUAAUUACACGUAAAAUAUUUUACAGUGUUAUAUAAAUCUUAGGAAGAAUAAAGCCAAGGCUUAAAAUGUGUUAGCAUGAGGACAUUUUUAUUUCCACUUGCAGAUGACUUGAAAGUGAUGCUUUCAGAAAGGGUCAGCCUUAUGCAAAAUUCUGAAGUAGGCAAUUCCAUC